rnacentral:rRNA from 1 species
UACGUAGGGAGCAAGCGUUGUCCGGAAUCAUUGGGCGUAAAGCGCGCGUAGUUGGCCUCGUAAGUCCGCUGUGAAAGUCAAAGGCUCAACCUUUGAAAGCCGGUGGAUACUGCGAGGCUAGAGUACGGAAGAGGCGAGUGGAAUUCCUGGUGUAGCGGUGGAAUGCGCAGAUAUCAGGAGGAACACCAAUAGCGAAGGCAGCUCGCUGGGACGUUACUGACACUGAGGCGCGAAAGCGUGGGGAGCGAACAGG